CCUCGUGCAAUGGCGUUCGAUAAGCAGUGAAAACAGUCUCCGUCGACGGAAUCGGACACAAACCGGAUUUCCGGCCCCCGCGCUGGCUGGCUGGCGAUACGUUGGCGUGGCUCGCACCGCAGCGGCAACGAGACAGCGGCACAUGCAUGGCCGGCUGAGCAGGGAUGAUCGGUGACAUUACAUAUGGAGCUGUCGCCACGACCGACAUGUUCUGCACGGAAGCUUUCAGAAAACCAUCAACUUCAUUGAGGCGUUUCUACUGGCACGAGGUCUGAUGACGCCACCAGGGAGCCUUUGCGAAGCCUGCCAAAUUCUGCCUGUCAGAUUGGGUAUGACGAAAAAGCACGAUGGGGCGGAGCAUUCCCCGCAGCGACCGUACGAGCACCAAAGGGAGACCGGGAGACCGAGGCCGCCUGGCGCGGCCCGCUGAUGCGGCGAAGGCUGAUGCACCGAGGGCGCGGAGAGUGGCUGGCCAAUCAUCUUUCGGACGUGCGCGUUUCUGCUCCACUGGCGCGUAUAUGUGGCCUGCCGCCGUCUCUCGCUCCCUAUGUGUGUGUGUUACAUUUGCGCCCGAUUCCUUUUCAAUUUCGAUCCGGACCGGGCGUAUUGUACCCGACAAAAAGAGCUGCAAUUGGGAACACGCCCUGUGCUCCCGGCUUUUUCGGAAGAGAGGAGCGAAAAAAAAGAAGAAGAAAGCAACUUUAACCUAAUGUCUAUUGUUUUUCUACAUUUGCUUUCCGAAGA